rnacentral:lncRNA from 1 species
CCACCCAAUCCACAAAACAAUUUCCGUCCUCUCUCUCUCUCUAUGCCUUUUCCAUCUCACUCUCUCUCCUCUUUCUCUCUAUAUCACAAUCAUCGAAAGGAGCACAACUGUGGUGGCGUGAGCAAAGUUGCUGCGGCGACUCUCACAUCAUUGCCCAUGGUUGCCGCUGAGCACAGCGAAGAGGACCUUUAGAAGGAGGUGGCACUAUCGAUGUUGGGCAAAGGCGGCGGUAUGUAUUUUCGAUUUGGGUAGCAUUUUGGGCAAUUUGAGGUGGACCUUUUGGUGAUGGAUUUGGUGCGGGAAGAAGGUUUUGGGAGGUUUCUAGUAGCUAGGUAAAUUGAUCUGGGAAAUUUGGGUUUAAUUCUAAUCUACCUUUUUCUUGUCAUCAUGUUUAUUGUGGUGUUGUGGGUCCGAUGUGGCGGUGGUGCAUUUACAAUCACGGUGGUGGCGAUGGUGAUGAGGUGAUUGGUUGUUGGUACAGGUGUCUGUACAAUAAUUCUAGCUAAAGAAUAAUAGAAUUUUGUGUUGAAAAAUUACAUCGAUAUUGUGCAUAUUAUAUUCAUAAAACAUACCAUUUAUAUUCAUGAAAUCAAAACGCAGUUUCGUAUUACCGAAAUAAAUUUGGAAAGAUGAAACGACAUAUUCAAUCAUUUUCAUUCUUUAUUUCAAACCUAUAUGAAAUCAAAAGAAUGUUAUUAAUUUUCUGAAAUCAAAUACGAAGGAAGAAAUCAUAAACAAUCAAGGAAAGAUGCGAGUGAUGCGAUUGGUCGAGGCAAGUGUUGGACACUUUGUCCUUAAAAUGAAUUUGCUCUGCAUCGGUGCUAACGAUUUUCCGACAAACAUCUUCCAAGAUAAAACGACCAUGUCGAACCAUAGGAGCACUUCAAAUGGCUUAGACCAACGAACUCGAACGGAGUUCCCUCUCUAUCAUAAUCAUGACUUUGAUGGAAGAGUUUUGUGCAAACUAUCUAAGCAUGGAAUGGAAUGAUACAGAAUUAUGAAUUGAAUUUCUU